UACGGAGGGAGCAAGCGUUAUCCGGAAUUACUGGGUUUAAAGGGUGCGUAGGCGGUUAAUUAAGUCCGAGGUGAAAGGUAAUUGCUUAACGAUUGAAUUGCCUUUGAUACUGGUUAACUUGAAAGGAGAUGAGGUUGGCGGAAUGUGAUAUGGAGCGGUGAAAUGCGUAGAUAUAUCAUAGAACACCGAUUGCGAAGGCAGCUGACUAAUCUUACUUUUACGCUGAGUCACGAAAGCGUGGGGAGCGAACAGG
rnacentral:rRNA from 1 species